AGAACGAACGCUGGCGGCAGGCCUCAAACAUGCAAGUCUAGGGGGUGUAGCAAUACAUCACCGGCGGACGGGUGCGUAACGCGUGGGAAUGUACCUAUUGGUUCGGAACAACUGAGGGAAACUUCAGCUAAUACCGGAUGAGCCCGAAAGGGGAAAGAUUUCUCGCCAAUAGAUCAGCCCGCGUCCGAUUAGCUAGUUGGUGGGGUUAAAGCCUACCAAGGCGACGAUCGGUAGCUGUUCUGAGAGGAAGAUCAGCCACACUGGGACUGAGACACGGCCCAGACUCCUACGGGAGGCAGCAGUUGGGAAUCUUGGACAAUGGGGGAAACCCUGAUCCAGCCAUGCCGCGUGAGUGAUGAAGGCCUUCGGGUUGUAAAACUCUUUCGACGGGACGAUAAUGACGGUACCCGUAGAAGAAGCUCCGGCUAACUUCGCGCCAGCAGCCGC
rnacentral:rRNA from 1 species